GAUGAAGAACGUAGCGAAAUGCGAUAAGUAGUGUGAAUUGCAGAAUUCAGUGAAUCAUCGAAUCUUUGAACGCACAUUGCGCCCCAUGGUAUUCCGUGGGGCAUGCCUGUUCGAGCGUCAUUUACCCCCUCAAGCUCCGCUUGGUGUUGGGCGUCUGUCCCGCUUCGCGCGCGGACUCGCCCCAAAGGUAUUGGCAGCGGUCGUGCCAGCUUCUCGCGCAGCACAUUGCGCUUCUCGAGGCACCGGUGGGCCCGCGUCCAUCAAGCUCACCCCCCCAGUUUGACCUCGGAUCAGGUAGGGAUACCCGCUGAACUUAAGCAUAUCAAUAAGCGGGGGA
rnacentral:misc_RNA from 1 species